GAACAUUGAACACUACAGUAAAAAGUUACUAAUAUUUCAAUGUCGUAAGGUAAUGAAGGUAAUAUUAGUUGUACUUUGUCGUAGUGGGAGAAAGUUAAAUAAAAUCAUAGCUCAGUGUACAUUCUUGGGAUAGUUUCGGUAACCGGAUUCCGGAAGAGUUUAAUACCAAACUAGAUAGUUACGACAAAGCACUACUGGACAAAUAUUGCAUCAGA
rnacentral:lncRNA from 1 species